rnacentral:sRNA from 1 species
CCACCCAGGCCACUCUUCACCUCCACCAUGAGCCUGGACAUCCAGAGCCUGGACAUCCAGUGUGAGGAGCUGAGCGAUGCUAGAUGGGCCGAGCUCCUCCCUCUGCUCCAGCAGUGCCAAGUGGUCAGGCUGGACGACUGUGGCCUCACAGAAGCACGGUGCAAGGACAUCAGCUCUGCACUUCGAGUCAACCCUGCACUGGCAGAGCUCAACCUGCGCAGCAACGAGCUGGGUGAUGCCGGCGUGCACUGCGUGCUCCAGGGCCUGCAGAGCCCCUCCUGCAAGAUCCAGAAGCUGAGGAGCUGCACCUCAGCGACAACCUCUUGGGGGACGUGGGCCUGCAGCUGCUCUGCGAGGGACUCCUGGACCCCCAGUGCCGCCUGGAAAAGCUGCAGUGAGUUUGCGUCCUGCCCCAGGGCCCGUGCUGCCCACUGCCUGUUCCUCAGCCAGCCCCCUACAUAGAACACAAGGUCACAAUGGCCUUGUGGUGCUCU